AGUGAACGCUGGCGGUAGGCCUAACACAUGCAAGUCGAACGGCAGCACAGUAAGAGCUUGCUCUUACGGGUGGCGAGUGGCGGACGGGUGAGGAAUACAUCGGAAUCUACUUUUUCGUGGGGGAUAACGUAGGGAAACUUACGCUAAUACCGCAUACGACCUACGGGUGAAAGCAGGGGAUCUUCGGACCUUGCGCGAUUGAAUGAGCCGAUGUCGGAUUAGCUAGUUGGCGGGGUAAAGGCCCACCAAGGCGACGAUCCGUAGCUGGUCUGAGAGGAUGAUCAGCCACACUGGACCUGAGACACGGUCCAGACUCCUACGGGAGGCAGCAGUGGGGAAUAUUGGACAAUGGGCGAAAGCCUGACCCAGCCAUACCGCGUGGGUGAAGAGGGCCUUCGGGUGGUAAAGCCUUUUGUUGGGAAAGAAAAGCAGCAGGUUAAUACCCCGCUGUUCUGACGGUACCCAAAGAAUAAGCACCGGCUAACUUCGUG
rnacentral:rRNA from 1 species